GGGCUUGUACUGGUUUCGACGGGGGUUUUGCAGCUGGUGAAGCUAUCCGCAGGCGAUGCGUCAAAUCGCAAAAUUAAAAAUAAACGCUGAAGAUAAUUUAGCAUACGCUGCCUAAUGGCAGCUGUCGGCCUUAGAGCACCCACACUUUAAGAAUCCGGCAUCGACUAUGUGGGAAACGACAUGCGUUAAGCUUUGCGCGCAUGGGCGUAUCAUGAAGCUACUGAAGUCCGCAGGGUGUUAGUUCCCGGCUGACGGAGGGAAUGUCAAAGAACUGACUACGAUAGUAGAAGAACAGGGAAUAGGCUUUCGGACAGGGGUUCGAUUCCCCUCAGGUCCACUA
rnacentral:tmRNA from 2 species